rnacentral:rRNA from 1 species
GAGUUUGAUCGUGGCUCAGAGUGAACGCUGGCGGUAGGCCUAACACAUGCAAGUCGAACGGCAGCACAGUAAGAGCUUGCUCUUAUGGGUGGCGAGUGGCGGACGGGUGAGGAAUACAUCGGAAUCUACUUUUUCGUGGGGGAUAACGUAGGGAAACUUACGCUAAUACCGCAUACGACCUACGGGUGAAAGCAGGGGAUCUUCGGACCUUGCGCGAUUGAAUGAGCCGAUGUCGGAUUAGCUAGUUGGCGGGGUAAAGGCCCACCAAGGCGACGAUCCGUAGCUGGUCUGAGAGGAUGAUCAGCCACACUGGAACUGAGACACGGUCCAGACUCCUACGGGAGGCAGCAGGUGGGAAUAUUGGACAAUGGGCGCAAGCCUGAUCCAGCCAUACCGCGUGGUGAAGAAGGCC